UCUGUAGACCAGUGUUCUCCACUCAUCUUCACUGUAGACCAGGUGAGUCUAUGGGCCCCAGGUGAGUCUGUAGACCAGUGUUCUCCACUCAUCUUCACUGUAGACCAGGUGAGUCUAUGGGCCCCAGGUGAGUCUGUAGACCAGUGUUCUCCACUCAUCUUCACUGUAGACCAGGUGAGUCUAUGGGCCCCAGGUGAGUCUGUAGACCAGUGUUCUCCACUAAUCUUCACUGUAGACCAGGUGAGUCUAUGGGCCCCAGGUGAGUCUGUAGACCAUUGUUCUCCACUCAUCUUCACUGUAGAUCAGGUGAGUCUAUGGGCCCCAGGUGAGUCUGUAGACCAGUGUUCUCCACUCAUCUUCACUGUAGACCAGGUGAGUCUAUGGGCCCCAGGUGAGUCUGUAGACGAGUGCUCUUCACUCAUUCACUGUAGACCAGAUGAGUCUAUGGGCCCCAGCUGAGUCUGUAGACUAGUGUUCUCCACUCAUCUUCACUGUAGACCAGGUGAGUCUAUGGGCCCCAGGUGAGUCUGUAGACCAGUGUUCUCCACUCAUCUUCACUGUAGACCAGGUGAGUCUAUGGGCCCCAGGUGAGU